AAUUGGAGGGCAAGUCUGGUGCCAGCAGCCGCGGUAAUUCCAGCUCCAAUAGCGUAUAUUAAAGUUGUUGCAGUUAAAAAGCUCGUAGUUGAAUUUCGGGAUCAGUACGCUGGUCGUGCCUCCGGUAUGUACUGGUGUCACUGAUUCCUCCCUUCUGAAGAACUAUCAUGCCAUUCACUUGGUGUGGUGGGGAAUCAGGACUGUUACUUUGAAAAAAUUAGAGUGUUUAAAGCAGGCUCGCGCUUGAAUACAUUAGCAUGGAAUAAUGAAAUAGGACGUUUAUCCUAUUUUGUUGGUUUCUAGGAUUGACGUAAUGAUUAAUAGGGAUAGUUGGGGGCAUUAGUAUUCAAUUGUCAGAGGUGAAAUUCUUGGAUUUAUUGAAGACUAACUACUGCGAAAGCAUUUGCCAAGGAUGUUUUCAUUAAUCAAGAACGAAAGUUAGGGGAUCGAAGACGAUCAGAUACCGUCGUAGUCUUAACCAUAAACUAUGCCGACUAGGGAUCGGAUGAUGUUAAUUUUUUAAUGACUCAUUCGGCGCCUUACGGGAAACCCAAGUGU
rnacentral:rRNA from 1 species